rnacentral:rRNA from 1 species
CCUACGGGUGGCAGCAGUGAGGAAUAUUGGUCAAUGGGCGCGAGCCUGAACCAGCCAAGUAGCGUGAAGGAUGACUGCCCUACGGGUUGUAAACUUCUUUUAUCAAGGAGUAAAGUGAGGCACGUGGGCCAUUUUGUAUGUACUUUAUGAAUAAGGAUCGGGUAACUCCGGGCCAGCAGCCGCGGUAAUACGGAGGAUCCGAGCGUUAUCCGGAUUUAUUGGGGUUAAAGGGAGCGUAGAUGGGUUGUUAAGGCAGGUGUGAAAGUUUGCGGCUCAACCGUAAAAUUGCAAUUGAUACUGGCAGCCUUGAGUACAGUUGAGGUAGGCGGAAUUCGUGGUGUAGCGGUGAAAUGCUUAGAUAUCACGAAGAACUCCGAUUGCGAAGGCAGCUUACUAAACUGCCACUGACAUUGAUGCUCGAAAGUGUGGGUAUCAAACAGGAUUAGAUACCCGAGUAGUC